CCCUUGCCUUGCAACAGACCUCUGUGGCCCACUUCCUGCUCCAAAGAGAGGGCCCACACUCCUGGGACACCCCCCGAUUCUCCUGCUUGGGCGCCAGCUGAGGGA